rnacentral:rRNA from 1 species
UGGGAGAGGUAGGUGGAAUUCUUGGUGUAGGGGUAAAAUCCGUAGAGAUCAAGAGGAAUACUCAUUGCGAAGGCGACCUGCUGGAACAUUACUGACGCUGAUGCGCGAAAGCGUGGGGAGCAAACAGGAUUAGAUACCCUGGUAGUCCACGCCCUAAACGAUGAAUGCUAGUUGUUGCCCUGCUUGUCAGGGCAGUAAUGCAGCUAACGCAUUAAGCAUUCCGCCUGGGGAGUACGGUCGCAAGAUUAAAACUCAAAGGAAUAGACGGGGACCCGCACAAGCGGUGGAGCAUGUGGUUUAAUUCGAAGAUACGCGAAGAACCUUACCUAGGCUUGACAUUGAUAGAAUCUGCUAGAGAUAGCGGAGUGCCCUUCGGGGAGCUUGAAAACAGG